rnacentral:sRNA from 1 species
CCCUAGCCCUGAUGGAAACGGCAUCCUUUUACUUGCUUUUUUAGCAAGUAAAAGAUAUAGUGGACAGCAGGAAAUAGC